rnacentral:rRNA from 1 species
AUUGAACGCUGGCGGCAGGCCUAACACAUGCAAGUCGAACGAGUGGCGGACGGGUGUGUAAUGUCUGGGAAACUGCCAGAUGGAGGGGGAUAACUACUGGACACGGUAGCUAAUACCGCACAACAUCAGAUGCGCCCAGAUGGGAUUAGCUAGUGGGUGGGGUAACGGCUCAUCAAGGCGACGAUCCCUAGCUGGUCUGAGAGGAUGACCAGCCACACUGGAACUGAGACACGGUCCAGACUCCUACGGGAGGCAGCAGUGGGGAAUAUUGCACAAUGGGCGCAAGCCUGAUGCAGCCAUGCCGCGUGUAUGAAGAAGGCCUUCGGGUUGUAAAGUACUUUCAGCGGGGAGGCGUUACCCGCAGAAGAAGCACCGGCUAACUCCGUGCCAGCAGCCGCGGUAAUUC